AAUCCAAUCCCUAUUUUGAUUCCCUGGAAUCCAUAAGGAAAAGAGAAAAUGAAAGAAGGGAGGAAGCAACAGUGAACUGAAAAUGCGAUUGAGCAUCACAAGUGCCUUACAGUCAUCACUCCCACUCGCGUCACCCUCUUCUCUCAGAAUCCGCAUUCGCAUUCGCAUUCGCGCUCUCACCUCCUCUUCUCUCCCAACCACCCACGACCACCAAGACUUGUUCCACCCUCUCCCUCUUCCCACUCCCCGCCACGUCGACAGAGCCCCCAACGCCAUCGAGAAAAUCGCCCUCCGCUUGCGCAACUUAGGGUUAGCCUCCGCCGAUCACUCUGAUGCCAACGACGAUUUCCUGAACCGCGAAUGGCUUCGCCCCGACCACGCGCUUUUGCCCUGGGACAAGGAACAACAGGAGCAAGAGGAACGUCAGCCAAAGAAGAAGAAGAAGGUUAAUGCGGCCACAGUGGCGGAGGAGGAGGACCUGCGUCGGUUGCGAACGCUUGGAAUGCGCCUUAAGGAGAAGGUCAAUGUCCCCAAAGCUGGACUCACACCGUCCGUGCUCCACAAAAUUCACCAUCGCUGGAGAAACUGCGAGUUGGUGAGGCUCAAGUUUCACGAGCUUCUUGCUCAGAACAUGAAGCUGGCUCAUCAAAUUGUCGAGAAGUUGUCUGGACUGAGUUGUUGUAGCAUUCUGCAGCAUAGAACGGGAGGGUUGGUUAUAUGGAGGUCGGGAAGUGUUAUGUGGGUGUACCGUGGGAGGAAUUACCAAGGGCUGGCGCAACUGAGUAUAAAGGAAGGUGGUGAUCAAAUUUCUGUGCCGGCAGAUGGUGAUGCCACAUCAUCAUUGCUGGAAAAGAGUGCGGUAGUUAUGUGGAAGGGGGAGAACAUGACGCCAGAGGAAGUGGAGUUCAACAGGAUGCUUGAUGACUUUGGUCCUCGUUAUGUUGAAUGGUGGGGUACUGGAAUACUUCCUGUUGAUGCCGAUUUGCUUCCCCCAACAGUUCCUGGUUACAAGACACCUCUUAGGCUUCUUCCUGCUGGAAUGCGUCCACGGUUGACCAAUGAUGAACUGACAAAUAUGCGGAAGCUUGCUAAAUCUCUUCCUUGUCACUUUGCCUUGGGGAGAAAUCGAAAUCUUCAAGGCCUGGCAUCUGCUAUUCUUAGACUUUGGGAGAAAAGUUUAGUUGCGAAGAUUGGUGUCAAGCGAGGCAUUGUGAAUACAAACAAUGAACUAAUGGCUCUGGAGCUGAAGAAAUUAACAGGAGGUACCUUACUGCUAAGAAAUAAGUAUUACAUUGUAAUAUAUCGCGGGAAGGACUUUGUUCCAACCAGUGUGGCCGCAGUUAUUGCUGAAAGACAGGAAUUGACAAAACAGGUGCAGGAUGUCGAGGAGAAAGCCCGGUGCAAAGCUCUUGAUGUAGCUCCAUUAGGGGAAGGUGAAUUGACAGCACAAGCAGGAUCAUUGGCUGAGUUCUAUGAGGCUCAGGCAUGCUGGGGAAGGGAUAUAUCUGCAGAAGAACGGGAGAGGAUGAUGCAAGAGGUUGCCAAAGCUAAUAAUGCUAAGCUUGUCAAAAAAAUUGAACGCAAACUAGCUGUUGCCCAGACCAAAAGGCUUAGAGCAGAACAGCUAUUAGCUAAACUAGAAGCCUCAUUGGUUCUAGCUGGUCCUGAUCAUGACAAGGAAACAAUCACAGAUGAAGAACGCAUUAUGUUCCAUUCAGUUGGUUUAAGAAUGAAGGCAUACUUGCCACUUGGUAUACGUGGUGUUUUUGAUGGUGUCAUUGAGAAUAUGCAUUUGCAUUGGAAACAUCGAGAACUUGUUAAAUUAAUAACAAAACAAAAGACCCUUGCUUUUGUUGAAGACACGGCUAGGCUACUUGAAUACGAGAGUGGUGGAAUACUUGUAGCAAUAGAUAAAGUUCCUAAAGGAUUUUCUCUUAUUUACUAUCGUGGAAAGAAUUAUAGGCGACCUAUGACUCUGAGGCCUAGAAACCUUCUAACAAAGGCAAGGGCAUUGCAGCGUUCAAUAGCCAUGCAACGGCAUGAGGCUCUGAGUCAGCAUAUAACUGAACUGGGGAAAAAAAUAGAAGAAAUGAAAAAAGAACUUGGUUUGUCUCAAAAUUUGGGGCCUGAAGAUCGAGGGAAUGUAGAGGACCAUAACGAAAUAGACCAUAUAUCAGAAUUCACCCACAGUGAAGUUGAAUACUCUUAUGGAGAUGACAAUGAUAGUGAUUUCAGUGACAAGGAAUACAGCGAUUCUAAUGACGAGGAUUGUGAAUUUUAAAACUUUAAAAAUGAGAUUCCUACAAAGACAGGUUGACAUUUUGCAAUAAAGUUCCUGGAUGACAUCCACCAUUGCCUGCAGCCAGCUAGUAAUUUUCCCUACAUCUGGGGUUAUCAAGAGGCAAGUUUACUGAUAGCAGUUUGAACGGAUCUUCUGCUUGCACAUAGGAGUUGAAACUCAGGAGUCUUAUUUGUUAAAAGUUCUGGAAUUUGAGAUAUGCCUACAAUACCUUUCUGAUGUUAGUUUUCUUCCUCCCCCAAUAUAUAACCAGGGGUCCAAAUGAGCUUAUUAUAUUUUUGUAAAUUAUUCAGGUUCAUCUUAUUAAAUGUAAUAUCGAUCUGUGUAUUUUCUCUUAGUUCCAUGUGAUUUGUAACUCGACACAUAUAAAAUGUAUAUCCAAACAUACAUUACAUAUA